CACGGAAGGCAGCAGUGAGGAAUUUUGGACAAUGGGCGCAAGCCUGAUCCAGCCAUUCCGCGUGAGUGAAGAAGGCCUUCGGGUUGUAAAGCUCUUUCGCAAGGGAAGAACACUUAGCCGCUAACAUUGGCUGAGGUUGACGGUACCUUGAUAAGAAGCACCGGCUAACUACGUGCCAGCAGCCGCGGUAAUACGUAGGGUGCGAGCGUUAAUCGGAAUUACUGGGCGUAAAGCGUGCGCAGGCGGCCUUGAAAGUCAGAUGUGAAAUCCCCGAGCUCAACUUGGGAACUGCGUUUGAAACUCCAAGGCUAGAAUAUGUCAGAGGGGGGUAGAAUUCCACGUGUAGCAGUGAAAUGCGUAGAGAUGUGGAGGAAUACCAAUGGCGAAGGCAGCCCCCUGGGAUAAUAUUGACGCUCAUGCACGAAAGCGUGGGGAGCAAACAGGAUUAGAUACCCCGGUAGU
rnacentral:rRNA from 1 species